rnacentral:tmRNA from 1 species
GGGGGCGUAUUUGGUUUCGACGGGGAUCUGGAGGGUUUGAGAAGCGAGCGGCGGCCCUGGACCGCCUCAACAACGGGAAUUAAAAUGAACUGACACUAACGAACAGUUAGCUUUCGCGGCCUAAGUCCGCGAACGUCGGCCCCGGGCUUCCUGCGGCGCGGGUCACCGGCGUCAUUAAGGCAGGGAACCAACCGCUUUAAGCUUUGCCGGCGGCGGGAUCUUAUGAAGCUACUGAAAGCAUAACCCUGUCUGCGGGGGUAUGCCGGAGGGAAUGUCAAAACACAGACUGCGCUCGGAGAUGCUUGGGUUCUCGGGUUUUCGGACAGGGGUUCGACCCCCCUCGCCUCCAUAC